rnacentral:rRNA from 1 species
GACGAACGCUGGCGGCGUGCCUAAUACAUGCAAGUCGAACGAGAGCGACCGGUGCUUGCACUGGUCAAUCUAGUGGCGAACGGGUGAGUAACACGUGGGUAACCUGCCCAUCAGAGGGGGAUAACAUCCGGAAACGGAUGCUAAAACCGCAUAGGUCUUCGAGCCGCAUGGCUUGAAGAGGAAAAGAGGCGCAAGCUUCUGCUGAUGGAUGGACCCGCGGUGCAUUAGCUAGUUGGUGAGGUAACGGCUCACCAAGGCCGUGAUGCAUAGCCGACCUGAGAGGGUGAUCGGCCACAUUGGGACUGAGACACGGCCCAAACUCCUACGGGAGGCAGCAGUAGGGAAUCUUCCGCAAUGGACGCAAGUCUGACGGAGCAACGCCGCGUGAGUGAAGAAGGUUUUCGGAUCGUAAAACUCUGUUGUUAGAGAGGAACAAGUGCUAGAGUAACUGUUAGCGCCUUGACGGUAUCUAACCAGAAAGCCACGGCUAACUACGUG